CCUACGGGAGGCAGCAGUGGGGAAUCUUGCACAAUGGGGGAAACCCUGAUGCAUCGACGCCGCGUUAGCGAUGAAGUAUUUCGGUAUGUAACGCUCUAUCAGCAGGGAAGACAAUGACGGUACCUGACUAAGAAGCCCCGGCUAACUACGUGCCAGCAGCCGCGGUAAUACGUAGGGGGCAAGCGUUAUCCGGAUUUACUGGGUGUAAAGGGAGCGUAGACGGCGGUGCAAGCCAGAUGUGAAAGCCUGGGGCUCAACCCCGGGACUGCAUUUGGAACUGUGCUGCUAGAGUGUCGGAGAGGCAGGCGGAAUGCCUAGUGUAGCGGUGAAAUGCGUAGAUAUUAGGAGGAACACCAGUGGCGAAGGCGGCCUGCUGGACGAUGACUGACGUGGAGGCUCGAAAGCGUGGGGAGCAAACAGGAUUAGAGACCCGAGGAGUC
rnacentral:rRNA from 1 species